UAUUUCUGUUUGCUCUUUUUCUACUUAGUUUAACAUCUAUUGCUAUCCUUUCUGUUGGCAUAACUUCAAUGUUUACAGAUUCAAAUGCUUGGUCAAUAUUAGAAGAAUUUGUAGCAAACACUUUGUACUUUCUCCUAUUGUGGCAGUGUUAUUUUGACAAUUGUGAAAUUCCUAAUGUAGAUAAGGAAUGUUGAUUUAGAUUAUUUGAAGAAUGCAAAGUUCAAGUUGAGCUUGUAGCUUGAGACAGCUGUUAUAACUCUUUCCAAAGAGGAUAUAAUGAGGGAUAAGUGCAAUUGGACUACAAUAUAGUCUCUUUGGUAUUCAUGAAAUUAUUUGACGCUUGACACAGGUUAUUUGCUAAAACUAUUUGGAGGGUUCAUUUACGCACAAUAGACAGUUGGACUGCCUAAUGUCAGCGAAGCUCAGGAAGAUCAACAAACUAUUCUGCUCCUCAUGCUAUCAUAAAAAGGAGAAAUAAUAGUUCAGUCCUUUUCACAAGUAGAUAUCUCUAUCUACCUUUUUCCAGUUUUGCCUGAUUGCAUUACUAGAAAAUUAAAUAUGGGCAACUUCACUUGAUAUGCAAUUCAUUUUCCUUAGUAUAAAAUGUGUUUAUGUAAGAUGGUGUUUUUUACUUUUAAGAAUAGACAAAAAACCAGUAGUUGAAACAAGCUUUGGUUGGGCCCAGGCAAAGCCCGGGCUAACCUUACUAGUAUUCUUACA